rnacentral:lncRNA from 1 species
GGGGAGGCAGAGAGUUCUCGAGGGGUGAGCAAGAAGGGGAGGGUGAGUUUCCUUGGAGUAGGGGUGUCUUCAUAACUGGUUUUUUAGAAGAUAUUUCUGGAGGUGAAUAGCUGGGGUAGCAAGCGAGAAUAAGGAAAAGAAGUUGUUGCCUGAGGAGGAUUUUUUCGGUUAGCUGUUUUUGAGAGAGCUAGCGAGAGAGAGAAAAACAUUUUGGUGGCUGGUUUCUUAAGAGGAAGGGAAACUGAGAGAAAACAGAGAAGGGAGGGGAGCUGUUUUGAGAUGGCUGGAGGAACAGCUUCUUGAGGGGGAUGCCGAGCUGAGCAUAGACCAGAGAAGAAACAGUGAGCUAUAGUCCUGGACACCUAGUUGAGAAAGAGACUUCUAGGUAUAGUCAUUAUGAUUUUUCCCGUGUAUUUUCAUUUUUUUUCAUAUUUCUCAUGACUCAUUCUCUGUGAUUUCAACUCUGCUCGUUGGGUUGCUUUGGUUUGGUGAUUAUUGGUUUAAUAUUUAGAAAGCUUGCUACAUUUUAUGCUCUAUUCUGACAAAUAUUUUUCAUCUUAACCCACUGAUUGUUGGAACCAUGGAUAAAAUGAGGAAAUGGGCUCAACAUAUUUGUUAAAUGCUUCAUGUUCUAUUCUCGUUUUUGUUUCUUGCUCCUCUGUUUUCUCUUGAAUGCACGCUCAAGGCUUUAAGACUGUAAAUCUGUGUUGGUGUGUUGGUGGAGAAUGAAUUGAUUUGAAGAACAUUUGAGGGAUAAAAGAGACUUUCAGAUGUCCAUGAAUCUGGGUGGAUGUGUGGGGCAUAUAGAUAUUAAAUCAACGCAGCAGGGUAUUAAUUUCCUAUGAAUGGUCAGUAGCUCUGGUCAGAAGGUCAGAAAUCUCACUCAAUGUAGGAGGUUGGUGCUUUCAGUUCUUCAAAUCAGAAAUUCAUUCCUUUAAGGAUUGGUGACUCUGGUGUUUGGAUGGGGAGUUCUCUAUGUAUAUCUGGUGGGAAAGUCAUUCUUCUGGGUGGAAUGAGAGGGUAAAUGCUCACCUUCUGUCACUAGGAGAAACCGAGUCUAAGCUGAACCUGACAGUCUAUGGUAAGAGGAUUGAUGGGCCUGAGUUCUCACACUCGCACUGAUUCAUCCUAGAGGUAUGGCAUUUCUGUAAGAGAUGACCACUUCCUCUUCAUUGUUGGCCAAAACUGAGGUUGCUUCAUUACUUCACGAGAUUGACUCCCUCACUGGUGAUUGCGAAGCUGAAUUUCCAAGGGAAAACCACUGCAUGCACAGGAUCAUUUUCACUCUUGGUGGAGAGUAGAUAAUUUGUUGUUGAAAUGAGACAGAUGCCAUGACGCCAUUAUGUUCUGAAAUAAAGCUUCGAAAGUGCCAUAUGGUUGUGGUUAAUAUUUAUUUAUUCCUAUGGUGUUAGUGGAAUUCCCAUGUCUGUUUGGUUUUGAGUUGAAAACUUGCCUAUUUGCAGUAGUCCAAGUGUUUAGCUGUUUCAGCUCAUGGCGUCCAAAAUAGAAUUGAAUACUACACUGCUGGUAUCUCAGGAGGGCACAUAAACCCAGUGGUGACAUUUGGGCUACUCUUGGCAAGAAGGUUGUCCCUAACCCGAGCCGUAUUCUACAUGAUCAUGCAGUGCCUGGGUGCCAUCUGUGGCGCAGGUAUGGUGAAGGGGUUCCAGAUACAUGACUUUGAGACGCGGGGUGGUGGAAUCAAUGUUGUGGCUUCUGGCUACUCCAAGCUUGCUGGGCUUGGUGCUGAGAUAGUGGGCACCUUUGUCCUUGUCUACACCGUUCUCUUUUGCAACUGGUGCCAAGGAAAAUGCUAGAGACUCACAUGUUCCAAUCUUGGCUCCUCUCCCAAUUGGGUUUGCAGUGUUCUUGGUUCAUUUGGCAACCAUCCCAAUCACCGAAACCGGCAUCAACCCUGCUAGGAGUCUCGGGGCCGCCAUCAUCUACAACAGGGGAAUGUCUGUGAUGACAUGUGGAUUUUCUAGGUGAGACCCUUCGUUAGAGCUACUCUAGGUACCCCUACUGACCACUUACUAGACCUGGGAUUCAGAAAAGACAUGGAGAAAAUUGUAGAUUGUUUACCCCGCCAGAGGCAGUCAUUGCUGCUCUAUGCUACAGUCCCUAAUACUAUGAGCAGGCAUCCAUUUUCUAUUGUCCGGAUGCCAAUCCAAUGGCGCUGAAAACAAAGCCUUCUGCCAGUCCACUCAUUACCCAACCUUAAUCUUUUCCAAACCCAUCCAACCCAUUAUUUCAUGUCCAUUGAAUCCUUCCUUCGCGUCCAUCUUUGUCACUACCUGUGAUUCCACUCAACACCACCCUUCAUAUACAACCAUUCUUCUCACUUUCUAUACCUUAUCCUCUGCUCGAUCACCUUACCACCUUGCCCAUUCUCCUAUAUACAUGGCCUACAUGGUAUUUUCUAGUUUUGACCAAAACAAAUGAAGAUAAUGUGGAAUUUAUUGGUGAAGACUACACUGUGGAACUCACAGAUGGUGGGGAAGGCCAUUCCUCGUCUUUUCUUGAUGUCGGACUUGUGAGGAUAUUCAUUGGAAAUCGCGUGUCUGAAAGCUUGUGGAUAUCAACGUCUAAAUCCAAAUGAAAUCAAGGCUACAAACGGGUAGUCCAUGUAGAUGUGGCAAGUGAAGUCAAUGGAAGAGUUGAAUCUGACCCACUGAUAAAGCUUGCAUGGAAUGAGUCACAAGAUAAACUUUGAAAAUGCCAAUAUGGUUGAAGAACUCAUCAGUCUGGACCGGUGCAAGGGCUUGACUUUUCCUGAGAUACUAGAUAUGAUCAAUGAGCCCAAAGAGCCCUCAGACAAGCCACUGGGAAGCUGAGAGCAAUGCUUCAGUCAACAGAGGAACAAGUCAGGAGCUUGAAAAAAGCAUAGCACAUUCCUGAGUCAAUUAGCAGCCAAGACAAUUCCUAAUGGAAUCCACAGCUUGUCUAUGCGCUGGACCAUUGGUUGUUGUCAACUCAACCAUCUUGAACGCCAAGGAACCAGAAAAACAUGUAUUCUAUCUGGUUACUGAUGAGCUGAAUUUUGAAGCCAUGAAUAUGUGGUUUCCGUUGAACCCCCAGGAGAAGUAACCAUCCAUGUGGAAAACGUUGAUGAAUUUAAGUGGCUUAAUUCAUCCUACUGCCCAGUUGUGAGGCAGCUUGAGUCUGCUGCUGUGAAAGUAUUAUAUUUCAAUCAGAGGUAUCCCAGUACUCUAUCAUCAGGCUCCUCUAAUCUAAGGUACAGGAAUCCCAAGUAUCUCUCAAUGCUUAACCAUCUGAGGUUUUAUCUCCCUGAGGUUUAUCCCAAGUCAGAUAAGAUACUGUUUCUUGAUGAUGAUAUUGUUGUAUAGAAAGACUUGACUGCAUCGUGGUCAGUGAAUCUCCAUGGGAAGAUGAAUGGUGCAGCACAGUGUGGCUAAGAAUGCUGAUGAAGGUAUGCGAACAAUGCAAAGUAAAGAUCAGGGUCAGCUUAGUGCUUUAGCAAACACCUCUCGUAAGAUCGUGAAUAUCUCUGUGAGUGUGAAUACAUGGAAACCAGCUCAUUAUCAGAGACUAAGGGAGGUUGAGGAAGAGGAUGGUCAGAAACCUGUGCGGGGAAAUGAAACAGGCACUGGCAAAUCUGGUGUGCAGUUAAUGAUGGCAAAUGGAAACCUUGUCUCGGUUGGCAAUGGAAAUGCAAAACCUGCUGUAGAUACUCAAAGAGAGUCUCAGAAGAUGUAGCUAUCUGCUCCUGGUUCAUAUCCUACUGGUCGUCCUUUAGAGGGUGCUGAUUCUCG